rnacentral:rRNA from 1 species
CAGAUUGAACGCUGGCGGCAGGCCUAACACAUGCAAGUCGAGCGGUAACAGAUCUAGCUUGCUAGAUGCUGACGAGCGGCGGACGGGUGAGUAAUGCAUAGGAAUCUGCCCGGUAGUGGGGGAUAACCUGGGGAAACCCAGGCUAAUACCGCAUACGUCCUACGGGAGAAAGGGGGCUUCGGCUCCCGCUACGGGAUGAGCCUAUGUCGGAUUAGCUAGUUGGUAGGGUAAAGGCCUACCAAGGCAACGAUCCGUAGCUGGUCUGAGAGGAUGAUCAGCCACAUCGGGACUGAGACACGGCCCGAACUCCUACGGGAGGCAGCAGUGGGGAAUAUUGGACAAUGGGGGCAACCCUGAUCCAGCCAUGCCGCGUGUGUGAAGAAGGCCUUCGGGUUGUAAAGCACUUUCAGCGAGGAAGAACGCCUAGCGGUUAAUACCCGUUAGGAAAGACAUCAC